rnacentral:rRNA from 1 species
GUCUGGCUGGCCGGUCCGCCUCACCGCGAGUACUGGUCCGGCUGGACCUUUCCUUCUGGGGAAUCUCAUGGCCUUCACUGGCUGUGGGGGGAACCAGGACUUUUACUGUGAAAAAAUUAGAGUGUUCAAAGCAGGCCUUUGCUCGAAUACAUUAGCAUGGAAUAAUAGAAUAGGACGUGCGGUUCUAUUUUGUUGGUUUCUAGGACCGCCGUAAUGAUUAAUAGGGAUAGUCGGGGGCGUCAGUAUUCAGCUGUCAGAGGUGAAAUUCUUGGAUUUGCUGAAGACUAACUACUGCGAAAGCAUUCGCCAAGGAUGUUUUCAUUAAUCAGGGAACGAAAGUUAGGGGAUCGAAGACGAUCAGAUACCGUCGUAGUCUUAACCAUAAACUAUGCCGACUAGGGAUCGGACGGUGUUUCUAUUAUGACCCGUUCGGCACCUUACGAGAAAUCAAAGUUUUUGGGUUCUGGGGGGAGUAUGGUCGCAAGGCUGAAACUUAAAGAAAUUGACGGAAGGGCACCACCAGGCGUGGAGCCUGCGGCUUAAUUUGC